AAUUGUUCGCAAUGGGCGCAAGCCUGAUGACGCAACGCCGCGUGGGGGAUGAAGGUCUUCGGAUCGUAAACCCCUGUCGAACGGGACGAAAGACUCUGGAGCUAAUCAUCCGGAGAGUGACGGUACCGUUAAAGGAAGCCACGGCUAACUCUGUGCCAGCAGCCGCGGUAAUACAGAGGGUGCGAGCGUUAAUCGGAAUUACUGGGCGUAAAGCGUGCGUAGACGGCUAUCUAAGUCGGGUGUGAAAGCCCCGGGCUCAACCUGGGAAUUGCAUUCGAGACUGAAUAGCUAGGGUGCGGUAGAGGGAAGCGGAAUUUCCGGUGUAGCGGUGAAAUGCGUAGAUAUCGGAAGGAACAUCAGUGGCGAAAGCGGCUUCCUGGACCAGCACCGACGUUCAGGCACGAAAGCGUGGGGAGCAAAC
rnacentral:rRNA from 1 species